GUAAAGGUUUAUAGGCACAAAGGCCCAUUAAUUACAUUCUAUAAACAUACAUUAGGGUAGAUGUAAACAUAGACCUGAAAAUAUAAGAAGAGACAAGAAGUCAAUUCUCAAUCCUGAGUGCUAUAAAGCAUUCAGAGAGAUAAUCAGGUCUACAAAAGGUGCACAGGUGAAGAUACAAAGAUGACAAGCGUGCACAUUGCUCCCUAGAGAACCAGCAACAACUUAUCAAGUUUAUUUCAAUAAUGAUCCUUCCGCAGGUUCACCUACGGAAA
rnacentral:misc_RNA from 1 species